rnacentral:rRNA from 1 species
UGGAGCUUUACUGUAGCUUGAUAUUGAGUAUCUGUUAAACAUGUACAGGAUAGGUAGGAGCCAGAGAAAGUAGGACGCUAGUCUUACUGGAGGCGCUGUUGGGAUACUACCCUUGUUUGAUGGAUGCUCUAACCUAGGCCGCUAAGCGUGGUCAGGGACAGUGUCAGGUGGGCAGUUUGACUGGGGCGGUCGCCUCCUAAAGUGUAACGGAGGCGCCCAAAGGUUCCCUCAGAAUGGUUGGAAAUCAUUCGCAGAGUGUAAAGGUAUAAGGGAGCUUGACUGCGAGACCUACAAGUCGAGCAGGGACGAAAGUCGGGCUUAGUGAUCUGGUGGUACCGCAUGGAAGGGCCAUCACUCAACGGAUAAAAGCUACCCUGGGGAUAACAGGCUUAUCUCCCCCAAGAGUUCACAUCGACGGGGAGGUUUGGCACCUCGAUGUCGGCUCGUCGCAUCCUGGGGCUGAAGUCGGUCCCAAGGGUUGGGCUGUUCGCCCAUUAAAGCGGCACGCGAGCUGGGUUCAGAACGUCGUGAGACAGUUCGGUCCCUAUCCGUCGUGGGCGUAGGAAAUUUGAGAGGAGCUGUCCUUAGUACGAGAGGACCGGGAUGGACAUACCGCUGGUGUACCAGUUGUUCUGCCAAGGGCAUCGCUGGGUAGCUAUGUAUGGACGGGAUAAGCGCUGAAAGCAUCUAAGUGCGAAGCCCCCCUCGAGAUGAGAUUUCCUUUGCGAAAGCAAUAAGACACCUCAAAGACUAUGAGGUAGAUAGGCUGGGAGUGGAAGUAGAGCGAUCUAUGGAGCGGACCAGUACUAAUCAGUCGAGAACUUGACCAAA